rnacentral:rRNA from 2 species
UGGAAUAGGACCCUGUCCUCCUAUUUUCAGUUGGUUUUGGCACGCGAGGACCAGGGUAAUGAUUAAUAGGGAUAGUUGGGGGCAUUAAUAUUUAAUUGUCAGAGGUGAAAUUCUUGGAUUUAUGAAAGAUUAACUUCUGCGAAAGCAUCUGCCAAGGAUGUUUUCAUUAAUCAAGAACGAAAGUUAGGGGAUCGAAGACGAUCAGAUACCGUCGUAGUCUUAACCAUAAACGAUGCCGACCAGCGAUUAGGAGACGUUGAAUACAAAACACCACCAUCGGUGCGGUCGUCCUUGGC